CUCUCUCUCUCUCUCUCUCUCUCUCUCUCUCCCUCGAUCUCUCCCUGCCUCUCCCUCUCCGCGCGCCUACUCUCCCUCUUGCUCUCCCUUUCUCUCUCCCUCCCUCUCUCGAUCUCUCUCUACCUCUCCCUCUCCGCUCGCUCUCCCUCUCCAUCUCCCUCUCUCUCUCGAUCUCUCUCUCUCUCCGCCUCUCUCUCCCUGAUCUCCUUCUGCUCUCUCUCUCUCUCUCUCUCUCUCUCUCUCUCUCUCUCUCCCUCCCUCAAAACCCUAGCCCUCUCUCUCUCUCUAUCUCCUCGGCCCUCCACUGCAGUUCGGCCUUCUGCUGCUCGUAAAUCUUUGAUUCUCAGGAAAUAUAGGCAAUGCUUAGCCAGCGAUCAUAUGCACACUUUUCAGUUUGUUCAAGUGCAGCCUAGGGGUUCAACUUUCUUGACCCUUGGACUAUUGGGACAGAUCAUGGAUGGGUCAUGCCCUGUUUUGGCUCUACUAAUUUUCAUUUGAUGCACUCUUUAAAGAAAGCAGCACAUCAAUGGUAGAAUUGAAUGUAACAUAAGUAUGUGCACACUAAAGAUUUGAGGCAGGGUGAAUUAUCAAUCAGGUCCAACUAUCUAUUUUCUGUAUAUUAGUUGGCAGAUUCAAAAUACAUCAAUGCUAAUGCUCAUCAGGUAACUGGUGUAAAUCAUUCCUCAACGGAAUUGGUGGACAUUUAUUGGAUGUUUAAAUGAAGCUGUCCAUGAGGUGGGUCCCACCAUGUAGAUGCCUUGGCCUGAGAAUAGGCCGGUCCAAUCAUCAGGCCAGCUAUACUUUCUCUUAGCAAUCAAUUGGUUCUUUAAGCCAUUUAUCUUGUGGUGUGUUAUACCCUAUGCUUCAUUGUCUUACUUCAAUAUAUUCCCAGGUUGUGAUUUGGAAACAGUUGAUGCCACAUACUAUUAGCUGUGGUACAUGCUUGCUAGUCAUGUAGGUAUCACUCUUACUAGGUCUUGCUAUGCUUUUUCUAUGCAGUAUAUUAUUUAUUUGAUUGAUAUUUUUCUGUUUUAUAACACGGACUCUUUUCAAGUGAAGUUUGGAGUAGCACCAAUAGGUAAUCAUAAGAGGGAAAUUUGACUUAGGUGGUUUGGCCAUGUGUAAUGGAGACCAACCUGUACAUGUCAAUAGAUCAGCCUACUGCUGAGAGUUAUAGUAGUUUUAGUCAGAUUGAGGAGGAUCGGAAAAAAAAUUUAUUCAGAUUGAGGAGGAUUGGGAAAGAAAAUAUUUCUCAAGAUGAUUUGAAGCCAUAUUCAGAUUGUAGGAUGUUUGUCAACACCGUGAAAAGGUUGUAUAUCAUCAGUGGCUCUAGGGCACGACUACCUGAUUUUCCUUUUAUUAAAGCUUGCUGCAAGUGAAGUUAAAUUAGCAAAUCUUAAGAAAAUUAUAUUUUAGUUGUUUGUUUGGUUUUAGCUGAAAAUCUAUGUGUAUGGACUGAUCAGAUUUUAAGCUUAAAAAGAGAAUAUAAUCUGCCCAUUCUAAAGGUUGGAAAAUUC